UUUAUUUACAGCUGGAUUUUACAUUAACUUGGUUCGUGAAAAUGGUGGUUGGUACUGAGAGGCAAGAAGACUGAUUUACAUAUCUGAACUUUUAAUUUUAGGCAGAUAUCCAUUAGAAAAACUUGAAUUUAAAUCAUUUCAAGUUCUUAAAAAUUUGUUACCGAAUGUACUAUCAAAUGAGUAGUUCUCUAGUUCGUCCGGUCUAUUUUUACAUUUAAGGUGAGCUUUGUAAGGUGUAAACCGGUGGUGGUGGUUGUGUAUAUUAGUGUUGUAUUGUACCCUAUAGAAUGAAGG
rnacentral:lncRNA from 1 species